rnacentral:rRNA from 1 species
GACGUAGGAGGCGAGCGUUGUCCGGAUUCAUUGGGCGUAAAGAGCGCGCAGGCGGCUUGGUAAGUCGGAUGUGAAAUCCCGAGGCUCAACCUCGGGUCUGCAUCCGAUACUGCCCGGCUAGAGGUAGGUAGGGGAGAUCGGAAUUCCUGGUGUAGCGGUGAAAUGCGCAGAUAUCAUGAGGAACACCGGUGGCGAAGGCGGACCUCUGGGCCUUACCUGACGCUCAGGCGCGAAAGCUAGGGGAGCGAACUGG